rnacentral:misc_RNA from 1 species
AAAUGUUUUGCCUGUUGGCUGUUGUGUCAAAUAAAAUAUAAACAUAAAUGUCAUCUUCUUAAUAUAUCCCUUGUUUAGAAUUUUUUAUCUCUGUUUACUACUGUCCAAAGUAAAUUUAUAAAUUUACUUUGCUAGUGUCAUUAUUGAAUUUAUAGAAAAAUUAAAAAAAAUCAAGAAAAUUUAUAAAAUAUACAUUUAUAAUUAAUCCAAAAUGCCGAUUAUGUACAAUACUGGCGAUUGGUUCGUUUUGCGACCCACAACUUACAGGAAACUCGAUUUACAUACACCGGAUUGGCCAUUAGAUUUGGAUUUAGAAUAUAUGAAAGUAGUAUGUGCUCCGUAUGGUGGUCCAAUAGCGGUGACAAGAGAUCCUAAUCAAAUAGUGCCAAUAAAAGGUACUGCUAAACCUGUUAUACGCAUAUUCGAUACAGCUGGCCUGGAAUUGGGUAAAAUUUGGUGGAAUCAUGGUAAAUUAAUUUCAAUGGGUUGGUCCGAUACGGAAGAGUUGAUUUGUGUACAAGAUGAUGCAUUGGUUUUCAUUUACGAUAUGUUUGGUAAUGAAAGAUAUUCCUAUAGUAUGGGCCAGGAAGCUAGUUUAACUAAAAUUGUUGAUGCCAAAAUAUAUCAAUCAUCAACUGGAACUGGUGUGGCUGUAAUGACUACUAACGGUCGUAUUUUCUUAAAACUCAAUAGUGCAAAAGAUAAUCGAUCUCGACUCUUGCCUGAGAUUCCAAAAUCUCUAUCCGAAUGCACUUGCUGGGAAAUUGUGACAGAAGAACGCAAUAGCUAUUGUCUCUUGGGAAGAGAUCGUGAAGUUAUUAAAUUAUUUUUGGGAGAAUCUGUGGGAUCAAUAACACGCAAUUUAAUUAGUAAACCUUUUGAACGCAUCAUUUCAAUGUCUUUAUCUUAUAAUCAUCAGAAUUUGGCUUUAUAUACUAAUAAUGGUAUUUUAUGGAUGGGUAGCGUGGAUAUGAAACAAAAAUAUUGUGAAUUUGAUACUGGACGCAAAGAUAUGCCAAAGCAAAUCGAAUGGAUUAUGAACGUUGACAACGCUCAAUCAGAUGCUGUAGUCAUAGCAUAUAAUUCAUUUUUAUUGGUUGUCAAUCGUAAUGGUGAUAAAAAUCUAUUUAGUUAUGAUCCGGCUAUAUUUCUGGUUGCUGAAAUGGAUGGUGUUCGUAUUCUAACAAAUAACACUCACGAAAUGAUACAGAAAUUACCGAAAUGCGUGCAGAAUAUAUUUGCUAUUAAUAGUCAGGAACCAUCGAGUUUUCUAUUUGAAGCUCAGAAAAAAUUCCAAGAAAAAUCACAUCAAUCUGAUGAAUACUUGAGUCUAUUUCGUGAUCGCAUGAACGAAGCCGUAGAUGAGUGCAUAGAAGCUGCUGGUUAUGAGUUUUGUAUGGAAACUCAAAAAAGUUUAAUGAGGACUGCCUACUUUGGCAAAGGCUUUAUAAAGUCUCAUAAUCCUGACGAAUAUAUUAAAAUGCUGCGUAUUUUAAGAGUUUUAAAUGGCUUGCGACAUCCCAAAAUAGCCAUGCCUUUAACCAUAAAACAAUUUUUACAUUUAAAACCAGAUGUCAUUCUGGGACGUUUAGUAUUUCGAAAACACUAUGCCAUUGCUAUACAAGUUGCAAAACAUUUAAAAUUACCAGAAUCUUGGAUAUUAGAACAUUGGGCAUAUCACAAGGUUAUAAAUGAUAAAAAUGAUCAUGAAGUUGCUCGCAAAAUAACGGAAAAAUUCAAAAAUCCCUCUGUUGAAGGUAUAUCAUUUUGUAAUAUAGCUGAAAAAGCUCAUGAAGCUGGACGUGAUGAAUUAGCAAUUAAAUUACUAGAGUUAGAACCAAGAGCUUCAUUGCAAGUGCCGCUAUUAUUAAAAUUGGGUAAAUAUGAUCGUGCUGUCCAGAGUGCCACACAGUCAGGAGACACUGAAUUGGUGGCUACUGUUUUGUUGGAGAUUAAAAAGAAAAUGAUGCUUACAAACUUUCAUAUGAUUAUACGCGAGUAUCCCAUGGCUUUAAAUAUUUAUAAAAAAAUGAUGAAUGAAUGGAGUCGUACCGCUUUAUAUGACAUUUACAAUACCGAAGAUGAUCACAAAUCAAUUGCUGAAUAUCAUUUUCGAAAUGCUCUUGAAAGUGAAACUUUAGAAGCAAAUCUAUCAAUUAUAGCCAAUAGUUAUACACAAGGUCGUCGUAAUGUCGAGGCCGAACUUUGUUCUGACACAAGUAAAUUAAUGAAAUUACAAAAAGCUUUAACUACCAACAUUUUAAUUAUAGAUAUAGUAAGAUAUUUGGUGAUAUAACAUUCCAUGGUUUAUCCAUACACAAUACCAUUGAAAAGCUUUUAGAGUUGGGAGAAUUGAAAGAAGCUGAAAAAAUUAAAAAUGAUUUUAAAGUUCCAGAUCGAAGAUUUUGGUGGUUACGCAUUUUAAGUCUAUCCAGUAAACAAAAUUGGAUUGAGUUGGAAAAAUUUGC